rnacentral:rRNA from 1 species
GACGAACGCUGGCGGCGUGCCUAAUACAUGCAAGUCGAGCGGAAGUUGAAGAGCUUGCUCUUCAACUUUAGCGGCGGACGGGUGGGUAACACGUGGGCAACCUGCCCUGCAGAUCGGGAUAACUCCGGGAAACCGGUGCUAAUACCGAAUAGUUUUCGCCACCUCCUGGUGGCGUACGGAAAGACGGUUUCGGCUGUCACUGCAGGAUGGUCCCGCGGCGCAUUAGCUAGUUGGUGGGGUAACGGCCCACCAAGGCGACGAUGCGUAGCCGACCUGAGAGGGUGAUCGGCCACACUGGGACUGAGACACGGCCCAGACUCCUACGGGAGGCAGCAGUAGGGAAUCUUCCGCAAUGGACGAAAGUCUGACGGAGCAACGCCGCGUGAGUGACGAAGGUUUUCGGAUCGUAAAACUCUGUUGUGAGGGAAGAACAAGUACCAACUAACUACUGGUACCUUGACGGUACCUCACCAGAAAGCCACGGCUAACUACGUGCCAGCCGCCGCGGUAAAAC